UGGGGAAUAUUGGACAAUGGGCGAAAGCCUGAUCCAGCCAUGCCGCGUGUGUGAAGAAGGUCUUCGGAUUGUAAAGCACUUUAAGUUGGGAGGAAGGGCAGUUACCUAAUACGUGAUUGUUUUGACGUUACCGACAGAAUAAGCACCGGCUAACUCUGUGCCAGCAGCCGCGGUAAUACAGAGGGUGCAAGCGUUAAUCGGAAUUACUGGGCGUAAAGCGCGCGUAGGUGGUUAGUUAAGUUGGAUGUGAAAUCCCCGGGCUCAACCUGGGAACUGCAUUCAAAACUGACUGACUAGAGUAUGGUAGAGGGUGGUGGAAUUUCCUGUGUAGCGGUGAAAUGCGUAGAUAUAGGAAGGAACACCAGUGGCGAAGGCGACCACCUGGACUGAUACUGACACUGAGGUGCGAAAGCGUGGGGANCAAACAGGAUUAGAUACCCUUGUAGUCCCUGAGCGGGCUGGCAAGGCGCAU
rnacentral:rRNA from 1 species